rnacentral:lncRNA from 1 species
CACGUAGCGUGCCAAAAAAAUAUCUUCUCUGCAUCUCCGCAUCUCUCUCAGGCAUAAUUCGAAAUUCAUUUGAUCGCUCAGCAAAAGAUAAAACUCAUUAGCAAAUUAUAUAAUUCGUUUUCCACUUCUAUUAAAUUCGCUGAAAAGGCGACACCAAUCAAUAUUAAUUUCUUAGUCUUCCCUUGGCGUUGCCUUUCAGGUGUUCAUAUCUUUUAAUUGCUUUACAUAAAUAAAAUUUAUUAGUGCACGCCUGCGAAAAAUUAUGGUUUGGACGUCAAUUCUUGAUACCCAGUAUUGAUAUGA